GGCGGCAAGCCUUACACAUGCAAGUCGAGCGGUAGCAUUUCUAGCUUGCUAGAAGAUGACGAGCGGCGGACGGGUGAGUAAAGCAUAGGAAUCUGGCCAAUAGAGGGGGAUAGCCCGGAGAAAUCCGGAUUAAUACCGCAUACACUCUAUGGAGAAAAAGCAGGGGGAUCUUCGGACCUUGCACUAUUGGAUGAGCCUAUGUCGGAUUAGUUAGUUGGUGGGGUAAAGGCCUACCAAGGCAGCGAUCCGUAGCUGGUCUUAGAGGAUGAUCAGCCACAUCGGGACUGAGACACGGCCCGAACUCCUACGGGAGGCAGCAGUGGGGAAUAUUGCACAAUGGGCGCAAGCCUGAUGCAGCUAUGCCGCGUGUGUGAAGAAGGCCUUAGGGUUGUAAAGCACUUUCAGUAGUGAGGAAAAGUGUUGUGUUAAUAGUGCAAUGCUGUGACGUUAGCUACAGAAGAAGGACCGGCAAACUCCGUG
rnacentral:rRNA from 1 species